UACGUGGGGUCCAAGCGUUAUCCGGAAUUACUGGGCGUAAAGAGUUGCGUAGGUGGCAGAGUAAGUAGGUAGUGAAAUCGUGUGGCUCAACCAUACACCCAUUAUCUAAACUGCUCAGCUUGAGCACGGGAGAGGUCACUGGAAUUUCUAGUGUAGGAGUGAAAUCCGUAGAUAUUAGAAGGAACACCGAUGGCGUAGGCAGGUGACUGGCCCGUUGCUGACACUAAGGCACGAAAGCGUGGGGAGCGAACUGG
rnacentral:rRNA from 1 species